AGAAGAAGACUAGGUCUGUCAAGGCUAUACAGAAACUGUCCAACACUUGGACUUUGCACUGUUGCUGAAUGUGGUUAUUAGCUCCGAGAGUUUUUUUUUUAAUAUUUUGGGGUUUUCUUUAUAAAGGAUAGAUCAUCUACAAAUACUUCUUGCUUUUCAAUUUAGAUGAUGUUUCCUUUCCUGCCCAAUUUAUCUGGUUAAAACGUCUGAUACACUGUUGAAUAGAAGAGGCAAGGGCACAUGUUCAUGUCUUGUUCCUGAUAUUGGGAGAAAGCAUCCCGUUUUUCACCACUCUGGCCAGGACAGCCUAUCUGUGCAGGAGGCAUUGCUGGCACCCCGUGGGGACUGAGGACCAAGGAGGAGCUGCUCCCCCACACACGGUUCGUACUUCUGCUCUGUGAAGAGAGACAACUGUGCCCUGUCACCUUCACUGAACUAUGAGGAUAUUUUUAUAAGACAUCUAUUUCCCAGAUGAGAUAUUCCCUGACAAGUUUUAGGAUAUCAUUAUGUUGUCUGCUGGCUCAUCAACUGAGAAAUCAGCUGCCAGUCUUAUUGUUGUCUCUGUAAAGGAAUGUGUUUUUCACAUCUGGCUACGGCACUUACCCAAGCAGAAACGGGGUUUCACCAUGUUAGCCAAGAUGGUCUCGAUCUCCUGACCUCGCGAUCCGCCCGCCUUGGCCUCCCAAAGUGCUGGGAUUAUGCAUUCUCUCUUUACAUCACAGAGAUAUGGAAUCACCAAAGAAUACUGACACAGAAGAACCAAGUAGGAGAGUGUGCAAUUCCCAGUCUCAUAUCUCAUUACAAAACCAAACUAAACAAGGCAUUGGCACAAGAAUAGACAUACAGAUCAAUGGAACAGAACUGAGACCCCAGAAAUAAAACCAAGUGGUCAGCUGACUUUUUGAAAGCUUGCCAAGACCAUCAAAUGGGGAAAAAUUUUUUUAAUAUACGUUGCAGGGAUAAUUGGAUAUAAACAUCCAAAAGAAUGAACUUGGAUGCUUAUCUUGCACCAUAUGCAAAAAUAACUGAAAAUGAAUUCAAGGCUAUAACUAUUAACUCAGAAAAAAAAAAUGAGCUGCAUUUUCAUGAUCCUAGGUUUGGCAAAAUACUCUUAAGUAUAACUCCAAAAAAAAACCCACCAAAAAA
ensembl:lncRNA novel transcript